UGGAUUGAGAUUUCACCAUCCACCAAGGACCAGGCCCCAGGCUCAUAUUGAUAUAGAUCUAAUCAGAAUAGCACCUCGACUGUAGACCGACCUCAGUCUGCCAACUCAUCUUGCCACGUGGGUAUUCUGUUGGAAUCUCCUAACAAACUUUCAAAGUGUGGCCACGUGGACAUAACAAACAUCCAUAACUAACAACCUACGACUCAGACCUGACAACCUAUAGGUCUCAGCCUAACAAACUCCGACACCUUCCUAUAUAAGAAGGUAAUAAGAGCACCCUUAGGGCAGGCUCUGGUAAACCAAUCCAAGCCACUCU
rnacentral:lncRNA from 1 species